AUCACAUGAUUUACAAAAUAAAAGAGGCAUACAUUUAUAUCAUGAAAAAUGAAGCCUGGAUUUUAGGCUUAGGUCCCAAUCCCAAAGGCCUAGGUCCAAAUUCCUUUCGUGGGUCAAUAUUCAAUUGGGCAUCAAGUUAAGCCCCGCUUGAUCAAAGGAUAGCCCUUUUUUUACCCUUACAGAUUGGGGCUCUCAACCCAGCCCAUUAUACCACCACAAUUAUGAAUACUCUUAUCGAUAAUUCAUGCAAAAUGAAAGUCUUACUCAUUACAGCACUUCAUACAGAAUCGAAUUUUCUAAGAAAAAUCUAUAAAUAUUACAUGAUAUCUUAUUAAGGACAUAGAAUAUUACUCUAACUGCUAAUCUACUAUGACUCUCGUAUCAUUGAUGAAUCAGUGGACACCUGCCUCUUUUGGACAUUGUUUAUCCUUUAAAGCUGGGCCUAUCACAAAAACAAACUAGAUAUCAGCAGAUCUAAACAGUAAAAAUUUUAGAUUCUUAGCCUUGAAAACUACUGAUUUGGUCAACGAGUGACUCAAAUCUGUAGGUAUUGGCUAGUGGCUUGAAAAUAAAGCCCAAAUGACCUCAAAACAAACAUCAAUUAGAAAGAGAAUAAAAGCGGAAAUGAUUCAAACACAUUUGCUACUCAAAGAAGUAGACAAUACUAAAAAGAAAUCAACUUUUACACCCAAGACACCUUCAGGAGAAAAGCCAAGCAUAAAAAAACUGACCAAACUAGAUUAUUUCGUACUUAACAUUUAAAUUAAUAAAAGAAAAAACCAAUCUAACCUCAUCUUAACAUAAUCAAACAAAUAACAUAGGAAUGCAUUAUCAUGUGAAUCCUCACAACUUCAGUUUAAUAUCAUUUAAAAUAAAACUUUACAUAAAAGGUUGAGCAUAGUACCUUGAACAAGAGAAAUGAACCAACAAGUAAGCGGGUGAACAAAAGAAAUCAACUGAAGCUUGAAGAAGCAGAAUUCAAACAACAGCAACAUCAGCCCAAGAAUUCCCAGCUAUAGAAACCAAGGAAGACACUCUACUUCAAAACCACAUUUUAGCUUGUGCACAAAAGAAAAAUGUUUUGGAAGUCUUUUUAUGAUUUUCUGGAAAGGGAACUUUUAUACAGUAAAAUGAUGAUCUAUUUUUCAGAACAUUUAAGCCG
rnacentral:lncRNA from 1 species